rnacentral:rRNA from 1 species
ACUCAAAGGAAUAGACGGGGACCCGCACAAGCGGUGGAACAUGUGGUUUAAUUCGAGGCAACGCGAAGAACCUUACCAGGAUUUGACAUGCCCUUCAUAGGAUCCCCAAAAGGAUCCGUCGGUUCGGCCGGAAGGUGCACAGGUGCUGCAUGGCUGUCGUCAGCUCGUGUCGUGAGAUGUUGGGUUAAGUCCCGCAACGAGCGCAACCCUCAUUCUCUGUUGCUAACGCGUAAUGGCGAGAACUCUGAGAAAACUGCCGGUGAUAAGCCGGAGGAAGGUGGGGAUGACGUCAAGUCCUCAUGGCCCUUACAUCCUGGGCUACACACGUGUUACAAUGGCGGUGACAAUGGGCAGCGAAGUCGCAAGACGGAGCGAAUCCCCAAAAGCCGCCUCAGUUUGGAUUGUACUCUGCAACUCGAGUACAUGAAAUUGGAAUCGCUAGUAAUCGUAGAUCAGCACGCUACGGUGAAUACGUUCCCGGGUCUUGUACACACCGCCCGU